UUCAAAUUAACGUCCGAUGUCAUUUUGGAAAUGAUUUCGUAGGCGUGGGCACGAAUACGAAGCUUGAAGGAGUUGUGGAAUUAGUUCGAACGAUUUUAUUUCGAAAACGAACGUUAUUUAGGGGGUCUUAAAAAGUGACUUCUUAUACGUACAGAAUUUGGGAAAACUUUCUUCAUGAAAGUUGUAGAGCUCGUCGAUACGAUCUCGUGCGUAUGUUGAACGCAAUAUUCGGAGUUUGUAUGAAUAAGUUAUGAAUAUUUGAAAAUCGGGAUUUUUUUUCUAUAAAUAUGGAGAAUUUCUGGAAUUUUUCUUAAAUCCCAAAAUUUCCUAUUCUUUCUAUUUUCUCCCCCGGUUUUCUCUCUUCUCUCUCCUCUCCCCCGACCUUUUUCUCUUCUUUCUGGGCGUUCUUCCUCUGCCAGCAGCGCCACCGUCCGGCCACCUCAAGCCGCUCUCGAGGUGUCCACGGCUUCGCCUCGACGUCGUCUAGCUACUGGACGUGACCACUUUCCCCGGAACGGCCUCAAAUCCGGCAAACCGGAGCUGCAAGGUUUGAGCCAAAAACAGUCAACGCCGGUUUUCUCCUAAUUCCGGCCACCAAAACUCACGAUCCUUAGCUCCCUGAACUCACCUCAACAUGCUGAUCAUCAUCCUAGAAGGAUCGCACCUGGAGUGACCGGAUUCACGUUCGUCGGAGCUCGGCCGGCUUUAAUUCGAAAACCACCUUCGAAUCCGAUUUUCUCGAGUUAUAGACCACCUUUUCUUGUGAUUCUUGGCCUGGUGAGUUCACCUUGAGAUUAUUAACAACUCUCAAGAAGGGAUCGAGGCCUGAGGUUGAAGUUUUUACGUCGGAAUUCAAGCUCGCCGGAUUCUGGAAAAUUUCCGACCACGAAGACUUUCGAUCAAGAUAUCGCGAGCUGUAGUGCAUCGUUUUGAUUGAUUCUUUUUCCAGUGGGUUCCCCUUGAUGUUGUUAACAACUCUCUAGAAGGCAUCGAGGCCUGAAAUUGAAUCUUUGACGUCGAAAUCGAGCCUUGCCGGAUUCUGCAAAAUUCUGGAAUUUUUCCGACCACCGAAGCUUUCGAUCGGUAUAUCUCGAGCUACAGACCAUAUUUUUCUGUGAUUCUUGAACCAGUGAGUUCUUCUUGAGUUUCUUAACAACUCUUCAGAAGGAAUCGAAGCCUUAAAUUGACGUUUUUACGUCGAAUUGGAGCUCGCCGUUUUCUGCAGUUUCUCGCCGGUUUCUGGAAAAUUCCGGCCACCUUCAUACUGUUCAAGGUGAUUGACGGUUUGAGUUGGCGGACGAUUGUGAAUCGUAUUUUGAGCUGUUAAGAAGACGCAGCGGGAUUAGAGCGGGUAAUCCUACAGGACAGGAGAACCAGGACGGUGAUCGUGCGGUUAGAGCAAUGGUUAUAGUUUUACAGCAAUUGUAAUAGUGAGGCGAGUUAAGCUCAUUUGAGCAUUACAAUUUGAUUUGGUGGGAGUGUGCUGUAAUAAAUAACUUGAGGAUUUGGGUUAUUGUAAAUUUGAGAGUUGUGAAGUGUGGUUGUUUGUGAGAAAAAAAUUCAGGAUGUUAGUUGUAAUUUGUUAUUAUUCAUGUUUCGGAUUUGAAUUGAUUAUUCAAAAUUCGGGGCGUGACAGUUUGGUAUCAGAGCGUAAGGUGCAUAUUUGGUGAUGUGUCAAUACUUUCCGAGUGAUGGCCCGUCUGCAGCGGAUCCCCAUCGUGUGCUCUUCGGUAUUGGCUAAGUCAUUGGGUAUGCGUGAGUGUUGGGAGUUGUUUAGGCCGCUAGGUCGUUUUAGGAACGUGAAUACCUUCCCUGUAGUAUUGACUUGGCUAAUAUGGACUUGUAUUUGACUCAUGCCAUGUUUUAAGUGCUAUACGUGUAUUAGCCAAGCAUACUAUACUUCUUAGGUGAUGGAUAUUCGAAAGGGGUAGUACAUUGAACCUUAAAGUUGUUUUGGAAGUUCGUAUUAGAAUGAGUUCAGUUGCCGCGAGUUAUAAUCUUUAAGGAAUGGAAACCUUCGGAUUUAACUCUGUUGAGUCAGUGAGAAUUGUUUUAUGGAAAUGAGGUUCUUUUGAUUGUUGAAGUGUUUGGUUGAAGGCAUGGUGUGGACCUAUGCACGUACCUAGUGUGGAUACGAGUAUUAAUGGAUAGAAAGUUUGCCUUCUUAAGUUGGACGUACAUAUGUUUUUGGAUGAGAUGUACAUGUCAAAUAAUAGAUAUCUUGUUUUGUAACGAGAUGUCUUAGUGGGGUUUUGGUAAUUGGCAUGGGUGAUGUGUUUAAAGUGGCUUUGAGGUAACUAUACUAAUCUUGUGUGAGAUUGAGUUAUUAGUAUAAAUUGAGAAUAUAUGAGCAGUUGGAAUGAGAAUUGAUCUCA